ACAGGAAAAUUCAUUUUUUUAUUUUUUUUUUCAAGGAGCAGCAGGAGGAGUUAGCUGCUUGCUAACUGACAUAAUGAGAAACCUUUAGUGGAGAUGAUUGGGUCAGGUUGUUCCCAUGUACACAAGGUUGUUAAUCAGCCCCAAGUGGUGUGUGGCAAGCUGUGGGCCAGAGAAAUGGCUGUGGGAUGCACGUGAACCAGUUGUCUUACUGUGUGGGUGGUAGAGAGCUGUGCCUCUCCAAGUGGAAGGUGACUCGAGGCAGCACGAGCAGUCUCAUGGGAUACGCAGCAGUAGGGUUCAGCACACCUGGCCAAAAGCUCAUCGUUGUUAUGUGAGUCAGCAGAUGGAAGCAGCUCUCCUGCUAAAUGUGCUGAUCCCAGGAAGCUGUCACUGUAUCCUGCCUGCUGCAGAGGAGUUACGUGCGUUGCAGUGACAGCAUGUCAGUCUCUGGCAAUGAAACACAGCAUAAGAAGUGAUGCUCACUUGUGUGAGAGAGGUGUAUGGUACCCAAGUGAUUUGCAUGAGCGCAGGAGGCACAGCUGGGAACAGCUUCGCCCUUCCCUAAUCCUGAGUAUGCAUGUGGGAAAGUGCUGA
rnacentral:lncRNA from 1 species